CGCGUAGGCGGUCUUUUAAGUCAGGUGUGAAAGCCCGGGGCUCAACCCCGGAAGUGCACUUGAAACUAAGAGACUUGAGUAUGGGAGAGGGAAGUGGAAUUCCUGGUGUAGCGGUGAAAUGCGUAGAUAUCGGGAGGAACAUCGGUGGCGAAGGCGACUUCCUGGACCAAUACUGACGCUGAGGCGCGAAGGCGUGGGGAGCAAACA
rnacentral:rRNA from 1 species